rnacentral:lncRNA from 1 species
CUGUACUCUUACCAACGCUAGCUGGGUACAGCUUUCACUUAUCACCCCUGGAUGGGAGAGGUGGCAAUGUUAUUUCUUGUUUGAUGUUUUACUUUGCAUUUCCCAGAUUACCAGUGAGCUCAGGCAUCUUUUCAAGUGUUCAUAAGGACCAUUUCCGCAUCAUCUUCUGUGAGUGGAAUCUUCUAUGAGAGUCUGUGGAUAUUUAAUGUGUCUUUCUCAGAGCAUCCUAAUUCCAUCCGGUAGUGGCCACUUGUGUUCUGUUUUAUCAGUCUCCUGUGAAGUCAGAUUCACAGCCUUUGACCUAAAGGAAGCCAACAGGUGGACUCCUCCGGGCCAUGCUGAUUGGUUGAGGACAGGGCUCAUGACCCACGAACGGUCAGCCAGAGAAAACAAGUCCCCAUUCCUUGAUGUCUUUUCAAGCUAUUGGACAGAGAAACUCUGCCUUCCUCUACAUUUGAUUCAGUGAAGUGGCCAUGUAACACCCAGAGGAGCCAGGAAAUGAAACCCCACAGAGAAGGCAAAGCUGAUGAAUGCAGAGAUUUUGAGUCCGGAUGGUAUUAUCUGAGCUGCUGGGUCCAGCCUCGUCCAGAGACAAACUACGCUUGAAUUCCCUGGUGGUGUAUAAAUGAAUACAUUCUUUGUUUCAAUUAUCCUUAUUUUUUGUUGUUGUUUUAAUUAUCACUUUUUUAAAAGAGGUUAGG